UACAGAGGCCCCAAGCGUUACUGAGAAUCACUGGGUUUAAAGGGUGCGUAGGUGGCGCGUUAAGUCCGUUGUGAAAUCCCUGGGCUCAACCCAGGAAUUGCUUCGGAUACUGGCGUGCUUGAGGCUAGUAGGGGUCACUGGAACUGACGGUGGAGCGGUGAAAUGCGUAGAUAUCGUCAGGAACGCCGAUGGUGAAGACAGGCGACUGGGCUAGUUCUGACACUGAGGCACGAAAGCGUGGGGAGCGAACGGG
rnacentral:rRNA from 1 species